GGCAAAGCUCAAUUGAAAUCUGGUACUUCGGUGCCCGAGUUGUAAUUUGUAGAAGGCGACUCUGGGGCUGGUCCUUGUCUAUGUUCCUUGGAACAGGACGUCAUGGAGGGUGAGAAUCCCGUAUGGCGAGGAUCCCAGUUCUUUGUAGAGUGCCUUCGAAGAGUCGAGUUGUUUGGGAAUGCAGCUCUAAGUGGGUGGUAAAUUCCAUCUAAAGCUAAAUAUUGGCGAGAGACCGAUAGCGAACAAGUACAGUGAUGGAAAGAUGAAAAGAACUUUGAAAAGAGAGUGAAAAAGUACGUGAAAUUGUUGAAAGGGAAGGGCAUUUGAUCAGACAUGGUGUUUUGCGCCCCUCGCCUCUCGUGGGUGGGGGAAUCUCGCAGCUCACUGGGCCAGCAUCAGUUUUGGCGGCAGGAUAAAUCCCUGGGAAUGUAGCUCUACCACUUCGUGGCGGACGAACUUAUAGUCCAGGGGAAUACUGCCAGCUGGGACUGAGGAAUGCGACUUUUAGUCAAGGAUGCUGGCAUAAUGGUUAUAUGCCGCCCGUCUUGAAACACGGACCAAGGAGUCUAACGUCUAUGCAAGUGUUUGGGUGUGAAACCCGUACGCGUAAUGAAAGUGAACGUAGGUUGGGGCCCCUUCUGGGGUGCACAAUCGACCGAUCCUGAUGUUCUCGGAAGGAUUUGAGUAAGAGCAUAGCUGUUAGGACCCGAAAG
rnacentral:rRNA from 1 species